GUGAAUCAUCAAAUCUUUGAACGCAUAUUGCACUCUCUGGUAUUCCGGAGAGUAUGCCUGUUUGAGGGUAAGUAAAAAGAAUCUUUGACCAAUUUUUUGUGGUCAAAGGAAAUGAGUUCUCCGCGUUUAUAGCUGUAGCUGGAAAUAAAUGGUCAAGUCUCAUUUGAUUCGAUACGCAUAAUAAUAUUAUUUCUCGAAAUCGUCUUUAUUUUACUAUCAAGUUUGUAUGCAUACAAAUUUGUUUUGUAUGCGAUCAAUCCAAAUAUUUUGAACAUUACCUCAAAUCA
rnacentral:misc_RNA from 1 species